GAUGAAGAACGCAGCGAAAUGCGAUACUUGGUGUGAAUUGCAGAAUCCCGUGAACCAUCGAGUCUUUGAACGCAAGUUGCGCCCGAAGCCAUUAGGCCGAGGGCACGCCUGCCUGGGUGUCACACGUCGUUGCCCCCCCAUCUACUCCUUCUGGAUUGCGGGGGGCGGAUGAUGGCCUCCCGUGCGCCUCGUCGCGCGGUUGGCAUAAAUGCCAAGUCCUCGGCGACGCACGCCACGACAAUCGGUGGUUGCGAAACCUCGGUUGCCCGUCGUGUGCGGUCGUCGCGCAUCGAGGGCUCGAAAAAAUUGCCGGGCUCCGGCUCGGCUUUCAACGCGACCCCAGGUCAGGCGGGGUUACCCGCUGAAUUUAAGCAUAUCAAUAAGCGGAGGA
rnacentral:misc_RNA from 1 species